rnacentral:rRNA from 1 species
UAGGGAGCGAGCGUUAUCCGGAUUUAUUGGGUGUAAAGCGUGUGUAGGCGGUUUAUUAAGUCUAAGGUUUAAGCCUGGAGCUCAACUCCAGUUCGCCUUAGAAACUGAUUUACUUGAGUGUGGUAGAGGCAAGUGGAAUUUCUAGUGUAGCGGUAAAAUGCGUAGAUAUUAGAAGGAACACCAGUGGCGAAGGCGACUUGCUGGGCCAUUACUGACGCUGAGACACGAAAGCGUGGGGAGCAAA